GAGGUGGGCAGUGGGCAGGUGGGGUGAGGUUGGGUUUGGAGAUCAUCGCUGGAACAUAGAAUGAAUCAUAUGUUUCUAUGAUGAUUUCCAAACCCAACCCAGAUCUCAGAAAUCUCAGAGAUCUCCUCCAACCUUCAUGGUCCUGUGGUUCUGUGUUGGCUCUGCCCCCGCUCAGAAGAUCCUCCUUAUUUCUGGAAUCACUUCCUCUUACCCUUUGCUUUUGUGUUGUUUUUUUUCUCCUUUACCUGUAGGGUACUUUAAUGUCUCAGCAAGUGUAGUUAUUUAAUUUCUCAGCAAGUACAGAAUGACACAGAUUAAAUUCAUAAUGAUUUUUUUUUUAUUUUUUAUUUAUUUAUUUUUUUAAGGUAAAGAGAAGUGUUUUAGCCUGUGUCGAUCUACGUCAUUAAAGUACCGCUUCAGUCUCCUAUUCACGGCUCUCUCUCUUCAGCCUCCCAUCCCCCGGGAUGCUGCGGGACGGGGCGCGGUGCGGGGCUUGAUGGAGGCGGGGCUGGGAGCUCCGGAGCGGGGCGGGCUGAUGGGAGGUGGAGGAGCUUCCCAUCAGCAUCCUCAGCUGAGCCCGGCGGGACGGAGGGUCGGCUCUGCACGGGGCUCAGAGCCGCUCUGCCCUCACUGCUGAUCUGCAGAACUCGGAGCGCUGAAGGAGCCGCGGAUUUACGCUGUGGCGGAUGGUUUGGGUUUGACUUGAAGCUGUGGAGCUCGGCGGGAUGCUCUGCGUGGAGUUGGUGCGUGAGACACUGAGCUGGACAUGAGUGGGAUGGCGUCGGACCGCAACUCCUCCUCCCAGGAAGAAUACCUCCCACACUACGUGCAGCAGGAAGACCCCUUUGCAUCAAAGCUCUCUAGAGAAGCUGACAUCAUAGCUGGGUUUUAUUUAACAGUAAUUGGUAAUGAGUUUUUAUUUCAUGUUUGAAACACAGCUGUAGUGAUAGUGAUAGGACAAGGGGAAUGGUUUUAAAGUGAGCCAGGGGAGGUUUAGGUUGGAUGUGAGGAGGAAGUUUUUCAUGCAGAGGGUGGUGAGGCAGUGGAACAG
rnacentral:lncRNA from 1 species